rnacentral:rRNA from 1 species
UCGAACGAGAAAGUGGAGCAAUCCAUGAGUAAAGUGGCGACCGGGUGAGUAACACGUGACUAACCUACCCUCUGAUGGGGAAUAACCUCGGGAAACCGGGGCUAAUACCGCAUAACGUCCGCGGGUGCAAUUCCUGCGGAUCAAAGGAGCAAUUCGUCGGAGGAGGGGGUCGCGGCUGAUUAGCUAGUUGGCGGGGUAACGGCCCACCAAGGCGAUGAUCGGUAGCCGGCCUGACAGGGCGCACGGCCACACCCGAACUGAAACACGGUCCAGACUCCUACGGGAGGCAGCAGUGGGGAAUUUUGCGCAAUGGGGGAAACCCUGACGCAGCAACGCCGCGUGGAGGAUGAAGUCCCUUGGGACGUAAACUCCUUUCGACCGGGACGAAUAAUGACGGUAUCAGAAGGAAGAGAGCCACGCUCCAUGCUUAGUUUUGCCGCUGUCGCGGGG